AGCCUGCUAGUUGCACGGGUUAGACCCGUAGCAGAUAGCUCAGUAACACGUGGCCAAACUACCCUCUGGAGCGCAAUAACCUCGGGAAACUGAGGCUAAUGGCGCAUACGGCUCGGUACCUGGAGUGGGCCGAGCUCGAAACGCUCCGGCGCCAGAGGAUGUGGCUGCGGCCGAUUAGGUAGACGGUGGGGUAACGGCCCACCGUGCCAGUAAUCGGUACGGGUUGUGAGAGCAAGAGCCCGGAGACGGUAUCUGAGACAAGAUACCGGGCCCUACGGGGCGCAGCAGGCGCGAAACCUUUACACUGCACGCCAGUGCGAUAAGGGGACUCCAAGUGCGAGGGCAUAUAGUCCUCGCUUUUCUGGACCGUAAGGUGGUCCAGGAAUAAGUGCUGGGCAAGACCGGUGCCAGCCGCCGCGGUAAUACCGGCAGCACGAGUGAUGGCCGCUCUUAUUGGGCCUAAAGCGUCCGUAGCUGGCCGAUCAAGUCCGUCGGGAAAUCCGCACGCCCAACGUGCGGGCGUCCGGUGGAAACUGAUCGGCUUGGGACCGGAAGACCAGAGGGGUACGUCCGGGGUAGGAGUGAAAUCCCGUAAUCCUGGACGGACCACCGGUGGCGAAAGCGCCUCUGGAAGACGGAUCCGACGGUGAGGGACGAAAGCUCGGGUCACGAACCGGAUUAGAUACCCGGGUAGUCCGAGCUGUAAACGAUGUCUGCUAGGUGUGACACAGGCUACGAGCCUGUGUUGUGCCGUAGGGAAGCCGUGAAGCAGACCGCCUGGGAAGUACGUCCGCAAGGAUGAAACUUAAAGGAAUUGGCGGGGGAGCACUACAACCGGAGGAGCCUGCGGUUUAAUUGGACUCAACGCCGGACAUCUCACCAGCAUCGCCAGUA
rnacentral:rRNA from 1 species